UACGUAGGGGGCAAGCGUUGUCCGGAAUCAUUGGGCGUAAAGAGCGUGUAGGCGGCCCGAUAAGUCCGCUGUGAAAGUCCAGGGCUCAACCCUGGAAUGCCAGUGGAAACUGUCGGGCUAGAGUCCGGAAGAGGCGAGUGGAAUUCCUGGUGUAGCGGUGAAAUGCGCAGAUAUCAGGAGGAACACCGAUGGCGAAGGCAGCUCGCUGGGACGGUACUGACGCUGAGACGCGAAAGCUAGGGGAGCGAACGGG
rnacentral:rRNA from 1 species